rnacentral:pre_miRNA from 1 species
UAAAAAAACAAACCCUGGUUUUUGUGCCCAACGUUUGACCGUCCGUCUUAUUUGAAAAAAUUAUGAAAAAAAUUAAAAAGACAAGUUACGCAUAAAAUAUUAAUCAUGUUUUAUCAUCUAACAACAAUGAAAAUACGAAUUAUAAAAAAAAUUCAUAUAAGAUGGACAAUCAAAGUUGGACACGGAAAUUCAGGGUUUGCCUUUUU